GGGAUGUUUUGAGGUCUGGUUCUGACCUUCAGGACUGGUGCUGCUUCUCUCUCUCUCCCCUGCCCAUCCUGGAUCAUCUCCCCACCUUGCUAGUUGGAGAAUCCUGUAUGUAAUGAUGGCUAUUUAUGGAGGACAAACAGAAACCUCCAUAUGGGAAUGACAAAAUUAAUUAAUAAGUGAGCAAAUGAAGACAGAUGCUGAACACCACUCAGGUCCCUUCUAAGAUAAUCAUGAGCAAUUCUGUUUCCUCUUCAGAGACACGGAUGGGAAGAAAAUUUCAAGUAUAG
rnacentral:lncRNA from 1 species